rnacentral:rRNA from 1 species
GACGAACGCUGGCGGCGUGCUUAACACAUGCAAGUCGAACGGAAAGGCCCUGCUUUUGUGGGGUGCUCGAGUGGCGAACGGGUGAGUAACACGUGAGUAACCUGCCCUUGACUUUGGGAUAACUUCAGGAAACUGGGGCUAAUACCGGAUAGGAGCUCCUGCUGCAUGGUGGGGGUUGGAAAGUUUCGGCGGUUGGGGAUGGACUCGCGGCUUAUCAGCUUGUUGGUGGGGUAGUGGCUUACCAAGGGUUUGACGGGUAGCCGGCCUGGGAGGGUGACCGGCCACAUUGGGACUGAGAUACGGCCCAGACGGCUACGGGAGGCAGCAGGGGGGAAUAUUGCACAAUGGGCGGAAGCCUGAUGCAGCAGCGCCGCGUUCGGGAUGACGGCCUUCGGGUUGUAAACCGCUUUCGCCUGUGACGAAGCGUGAGUGACGGUAAUGGGUAAAGAAGCACCGGCUAACUACGUG